GUGGUAGAGCGCUCGCUUAGCAUGUGAGAGGGAGGAAAACUGGAUGGAUUGGAGGUGGUCUUCCUUUUGCCUUGCGGAAGAAUUUUGCAGAAGCUGCUUUUUCAAAUCUAGUGAGCACUCGCUCUGUGCCCCGCCGGCCGGCGUACGCAGGAGCAGAGGGUCCUGGACGUCAGACUCCACCUGAGCAGCACAAGCAAAGCAGGCCAGAGAGCGGUGGUGGUGGUGUUUCUGAGCAGCCUUGGUUUCCUCAACGACAAGUCGGGGAUACCAUUUACCUCGCUGGGCUGUUGUGAAGUUUAAAUGAAAUAAGCCAGUUAACUUCAUCCCCUCGCUGAAGACACAGAUUAGAUAUCACCUCCUCCAGGAAAC
ensembl:lncRNA